GACAGAGGGGGCAAGCGUUGUCCGGAUUUAUUGGGCGUAAAGAGCGUGUAGGCGGCCAGACAGGUCUGCUGUGAAAACUCGAGGCUCAACCUCGAGACGCCGGUGGAAACCGUCUGGCUAGAGUCCGGAAGAGGAGAGUGGAAUUCCUGGUGUAGCGGUGAAAUGCGCAGAUAUCAGGAAGAACACCCGUGGCUAAGGCGGCUCUCUAGUACGGUACUGACGCUGAGACGCGAAAGCGUGGGGAGCGAACAGG
rnacentral:rRNA from 1 species